UUUUUAUGAUGAUUUCCACUUCAUUGGUCCGUGUUUCUGAAUCUGUGACGUGAAUGGAAGCUCUGACUGC